UACAGAGGGUGCGAGCGUUGUCCGGAAUCACUGGGCGUAAAGGGCGCGUAGGUGGCUUGGUAAGCGUGUGGUGAAAGCCUGGGGCUCAACCCCAGGUCUGCCGUGCGAACUGCCAAGCUUGAGCAUAGUAGAGGCAGGUGGAAUUUCGGGUGUAGCGGUGGAAUGCGUAGAUAUCCGAAGGAACACCGGUGGCGAAGGCGGCCUGCUGGGCUAUUGCUGACACUGAGGCGCGACAGCGUGGGGAGCAAACAGG
rnacentral:rRNA from 1 species